CUCCAUUUCAUAUCCAGAGGUUGUCCUGUUUUACCAUUAGAUGUUGACACAGUGAAACACAUUUAAGUCAGCAACUAAGAUGAGCUGUUCAUUGCAGAUGCUUUUUAAUAACCAUGUGGGGAUAUUUCCAACAGAUCCUGUAGCAAAGAGAAUCUUUGUUUGUGCAAAAAAACAUAGAAUAUUUACAUUAGCACUAUGAAUAACGUUAUUUUUCAAAGUAAGAAGAGUACUGUGCCUUUCAGUAUGGACAGCAAUCUAAAAGGGACAGAGGAGGCUCUGUAGGUUGUUUGGGACAAGUUCCAAGUUCAUUAAUGAUGUUUCCCUGGUUUCUGCCAGCAGGGCUCUCUAUAAAAUGUAGAAAGCAGUCACUGCUUGUUGAGUACUUCUGAAUUGCUAAGAAUGGAAAACAAAUGGCAUGUGACUAAGCCAAAGUACAGUUGGUGCCAAGUAGAAACAGAAUUAUUUUAUUACUUCAGAACAACUAGCCCUUCAGACAAGGGUUGCUCCAUUUAUAAAAGUGUUAUUUAAGAACUAUUUAUAUAACAGAUAAUUGUAUUAUCCUCUAAGAAGAGGAUGUCCUGCAUUCACAAGGUAACACUCACUCUAUUGCUCAGGAUUUUUUUUUCUUGCAGAAGCUCCUGAAUCACAGCUCACUGCUACUUGGGAAGAAGACCCUAAGCCGGCAUUUGAAGAGAGAGGAGAGCAGGAGAUGAGCUCAACCUGCACCCGCCCGCCACCCACGAAGAGGAGUGAGAGAUGUUUACAGUAUAUUGGGCAUGUGCAGUGUCACUGACACCCCUAAAAAUAACCAAGAUGAUUAUCGUAUGAAACCCAACGGCGCAGAUCACAAUAUCUUCAAAUUGUAAAAAAUACAUCUGCCAUUGACUUCUACAUGACUACAUGGCAGGUAUAAUAAAUGUCGAAAAAAACUAUAUUCCUCUGAAAAUUUGAGGUUUUGCCCAAAAAACCUUUCGACCAGAAAAAAAAAAUCGAAGUUUAGUAAAUAACCCCCUAAAUGUGUUGGCUAAUGAAGCAGAAACUGGGACACAGACAGGACAGACAUUUGCAAACAAGCCUUUGCUUUUUUUGGCAGGAAGACUUGGCUUGAUAAAAGACCAAUGGCGGUCUGAAACGUUGCCGAUUGUCUGGG